rnacentral:rRNA from 1 species
GAUGAACGCUGGCGGCGUGCCUAAUACAUGCAAGUCGAGCGAACAGAUGAGGAGCUUGCUCCUCUGACGUUAGCGGCGGACGGGUGAGUAACACGUGGAUAACCUACCUAUAAGACUGGGAUAACUUCGGGAAACCGGAGCUAAUACCGGAUAAUAUAUUGAACCGCAUGGUUCAAUAGUGAAAGACGGUUUUGCUGUCACUUAUAGAUGGAUCCGCGCCGCAUUAGCUAGUUGGUAAGGUAACGGCUUACCAAGGCAACGAUGCGUAGCCGACCUGAGAGGGUGAUCGGCCACACUGGAUCUGAGACACGGUCCCGACUCCUACGGGAGGCAGCAGUAGGGAAUCUUCCGCAAAGGGCGAAAGCCUGACGGAGCAACGCCGCGUGAGUGAUGAAGGUCUUCGGAUCGUAAAACUCUGUUAUUAGGGAAGAACAAAUGUGUAAGUAACUAUGCACGUCUUGACGGUACCUGAUCAGAAAGCCACGGCUAACUACGUG